rnacentral:rRNA from 1 species
CAGCUUGCUGCUUCGCUGACGAGUGGCGGACGGGUGAGUAAUGUCUGGGAAACUGCCUGAUGGAGGGGGAUAACUACUGGAAACGGUAGCUAAUACCGCAUAACGUCGCAAGACCAAAGAGGGGGACCUUCGGGCCUCUUGCCAUCGGAUGUGCCCAGAUGGGAUUAGCUUGUUGGUGGGGUAACGGCUCACCAAGGCGACGAUCCCUAGCUGGUCUGAGAGGAUGACCAGCCACACUGGAACUGAGACACGGUCCAGACUCCUACGGGAGGCAGCAGUGGGGAAUAUUGCACAAUGGGCGCAAGCCUGAUGCAGCCAUGCCGCGUGUAUGAAGAAGGCCUUCGGGUUGUAAAGUACUUUCAGCGGGGAGGAAGGGAGUAAAGUUAAUACCUUUGCUCAUUGACGUUACCCGCAGAAGAAGCACCGGCUAACUCCGUGCCAGCAGCCGCGGUAAUACGGAGGGUGCAAGCGUUAAUCGGAAUUACUGGGCGUAAAGCGCACGCAGGCGGUUUGUUAAGUCAGAUGUGAAAUCCCCGGGCUCAACCUGGGAACUGCAUCUGAUACUGGCAAGCUUGAGUCUCGUAGAGGGGGGUAGAAUUCCAGGUGUAGCGGUGAAAUGCGUAGAGAUCUGGAGGAAUACCGGUGGCGAAGGCGGCCCCCUGGACGAAGACUGACGCUCAGGUGCGAAAGCGUGGGGAGCAAACAGGAUU